rfam:TPA: Bos taurus chromosome 27, whole genome shotgun sequence.
UCCCUGGUGGCUCAGAUGGUAAAGCGUCUGCCUGCAAUGCAGGAGAGCCGGGUUCAAUCCCUGGGUUGGGAA